UUUACAAGUUGCAAUUAGCGGGAGGAGACGUUAAAGAAAGUGCGUCAUUUUGUACGAAGUAACCUUACAUUAGAAAAAACGAGGAAAGGAUCUCAAACCUUGCUGCUGAAUGCUCUACGUAUCCUGUUAUAUCCAAAAUAACAUUAAAUCAGGCCAUUUGAAGGUCCUUAAAGCCCUACUCUGUACCACACUAGUAAGAGUGGAUGAUGACCAGCCAAAGGAACUGUAACACCAUUCCUUUGAUGCCAUGGAGCUCAUGUCUCUUCUGCCUCUGGGAUUUUACUCCAGUAGCAGCCCAUCAGAGGGAUAACAGAUCUACAAGGUCUUCACCAUCAUAUUCAUAAGUUUUUGUUUUCUUAUAUUUAACAGACAUGUCUGUUAAACGGGAUUCACCUGGCUGUUCAUUCUGAACAAGUCAAUAUCAGAUUGCAUAACACUGCUAACAUGCAUUUAUCAGAUAUCCAAACCUAUUUAUUCCAAUUCAGAGUCACUAAGAGUCAAAUAUCAUGGCAGCACUGAGUGAAAAGCAGGAACUUGCCAAGGAUAUCCACACUUACCCAUAUUCCCACAAAGCCAUGGUGAAAACCCAUUUGUAAUACUUCUAAGUAUAAGAGAACUGUCUUACCUUGACAAAACCCAUGAAGAUAAAGGAAGUACCACGCACCAUGAUGCUACAGAGAACUGAAUAAAGAAGUAAGAAUCAUGCACUGAUGGAAGCUACUUUGUACGUUUUUCAUAUAAUUACCAAAUAUAUGCCACCAAUUGCUUUGAAGCAGACCUGUUAAAAAGUACACAUAAUCUGACCAAAGAAUGGAAGACUGACAUCCACUCUACCACUGACAUCACUUCCCUGGUCUACCCUUCUGGACACACCUCUUCCUGCUGAGUGACUAUGUAAGCCAGGAAUCACCAAUCUUGUUGUCAGUUCUAUUUUGAACUUGCGUCUGCAAAGACAUCUCUGCAAAUCAUUGUGUGCUGCAUUUUGGUCCAUUCUUUCAAAAUAUAUAAGUUCACCAAGGUGAUGCCCCAGCCUUUUCACUUUCUUGUGUCUCCUUUUAACUAUAUACUGUAUAUACAGGGGUAGGAAAAAGUAGGUUUAUAGUUAUUAAUAUGGAAAAAGUCAUGCAAGUUAUGAUUGCUACAUUCAAGCACACUUUAAUAAUAAGUCAAAUAAGAAGACAAAUAAUAUAAAUAAAUUAUGCAAUAAAUAAUCGUACAAGAAUAAGCUGUGUUUCAUGUGCUAACAACUUUAAACCUACCUUUGCCCACCCCUGUAUAUAGAUAGAUAUAGACAUAAUAUUUACUCACCUGCUG